UACAGAGGUCUCAAGCGUUGUUCGGAUUCAUUGGGCGUAAAGGGUGCGUAGGUGGCGCGGUAAGUCGGGUGUGAAAUUUCGGAGCUUAACUCCGAAACUGCAUUCGAUACUGCCGUGCUUGAGGACUGGAGAGGAGACUGGAAUUUACGGUGUAGCAGUGAAAUGCGUAGAGAUCGUAAGGAAGACCAGUGGCGAAGGCGGAUCUCUGGACAGUUCCUGACGCUGAGGCACGAAGGCCAGGGGAGCAAACGGG
rnacentral:rRNA from 1 species